AAAGCGAUGAUGCCAACACAUCAUAUGGAAAGCACAAUGUCUUUUCUCAUCAAAGACAUCCUGUAAGAAGUAAGCAUAUAGAAAUGGAGAAUCACGGCACAGACAACCAAAAGGUUGACCUCCUGCAAAUGGAAGCUAUAAGGAUGGUUGAAGAAGCAAUUGAUGAAAUCUCACUUCCAGAUAGUCAAGACGAUUCACCUGACGAUCAAUCAGUCACCAAAGAUAGUAUUCCAUUUCAGGAGCACCUUGAAAGGCAACCAGACGUACGAGGGGAGUAUUCCAUCUCAACUUCCAUUCUUCCUACCAAAAAGAGCAAUGGAGAAUCCAAGAAAAGCAAAAUGGAGCAGAUGACACUAGAUUCAAGGAAACCAUGCCAAAAUUCUGAGAAAAAUAAAACAGAAUUUGAGGAAAAUAAACCUAAACUUUCAACCCAGAAGAGCUGGGGUAAUCUGAAAAAGUUGAUCCUUCUAAACAGAUUUGUCAAGGCAAUGGAAAAGGUUAAAAAAUUCAAUCCAAGGGAGCCGCGAUUCUUGCCUUUUGACCCUGAAAAAGAGCCAGAGAAAGUUCAAUUAAGGCAUCAAGAAAUGGAAGAUAGAAAAAAUGCUGAUGAAUGGAUGCUCGAUUAUGCGCUUCAGCAGGUUGUUGCUAAACUAACUCCAGCUCGAAAAAGAAAAGUGGAGCUGCUUAUAGAAGCAUUCGAGACAGUCAUUCCUACCAUUGGAAGUUAAAUGUGGUUAAUGACUGAUUCAGUAGCUUAUUAGAUGCAAAAUCCAAAAAGCUUGAAGUUAUUUUGUGAGGUAAAAGCAGAUCUAGUACAGAAUUAAAUUUUAUUCAUAUCUACUUUAUCAGUCUAUAAUUACUCGAUGCAAAUUUCAAUUCGAUGGAAAUAGUAAAACAAGAAUGUCUAAAAGAAACAAGGACAUUUUAAACUAAAACACUUGACCUAUUCUUUGUUGCAGGUGCAGCAACAAGAAGCUAUGAUUUGAUAUUCAUUCCAAACAGCCCUGUAGCAAAUUUAAAUGGAGUUCAUCAUGCCAUCAAGAAAUACAGGUCAAGUAGAUAGAAGCAAAUCCAGUUUCAGUGGAGUUUGUAGAGGUGCAUAGUCGAAAAACAGUUUAGUGGGUUUGGAGCUUCAAAGUACCUUAGAGAAUAAGCUAUACUAGAUGUUUGUUUGGACAUUCCAUUGGUUAUUCAUUCUCCUUACUUGUGGAGAAUUGUACAGGUCCUACAAUAUGUUUUUUGUACCUGGAGAUAUACAUCCUAUUUGUUAUUCAUUCACAGUACUUGUAAAGAAGAAUGAUAAGUCCUACUAUAUGCUUUUGUAUCUGGGCACAUUCUUUAUGCUAUUUAGUCAUAGUGAAUAUUUAAGAAAUAGACAUAAGAAGUAUCAUUAUUUCUAUGCUUAUGCCAGGAAAAUCGUUAGUUUAUGAUAACUCCCACAAAACUCUUAUCUAUCCAGCGAUUGAGCCGCAACAACUAUGCCUAUAGAGGCUACAAAUUUUGAACAAAGAGAAGAGAAAAUGAAAUAAGAAAAUAUACCAAUAAUGUCGCUGGAGCUAAGAGGCUAAGCAUUAAGCAACCCAGAAAAGAAAGAACCUCAGAUUUUCUUUUCCAGCAAAUUCCCAAAUUCAGAGAGCAACCUAAAGGAAUUCACAAGUAUUGGCAGCCUUUCACCACUGCUGACCACAUCACAGCAACUUCAUACUCUAAAUUAAACAAAUCUUUGUGCAAAUUGCUGAUUAAAAUUCAUAUUUAAACCACUGAAGCAAAUUUCAAGAAAUCAGGUUCAAACCCGCUUCCUUAGAACCCAAACUAAACUAAAAUAUAUAUCAUAUUGUUACUAAUAAUCCAUUAAAACCACAAAAAUCUUAGUAGGCAACUCUAUUAGCAGAAUUGUAAUACAUUUUUAAGAAAAAGAUAGGAAAUCCAAGAUUCCACCUUAAUCCAAAGCAGUGAGAUGACUGUUUGUCACCAUAAUCAUCGCAGCAGCGCUCCAACUCUUUGAAUUGAAUUUGAUUUCUCCCUGCACUUUUAAUGGGGUUUGAUAUGAUCCGGCCCAACUAUUUGUUCCUGUUCAACUUAUUUUCUUCAGGCUCGAUCCCGCCUGAAUUUAAAAUACCUCAAUAGAGCCUGACAAAAUAAAUAGGUAGCUAAAAUAUUACUGCAUGAAGAUGGUCCCUUUAGGCUUCACCAAAAUGGGCAAAUGCUUAAAUUUCAUUUGGCCAAUGUGAAACCACCGAUCAUUGCUGCAAUAUGACAAAUAAACAUGUGUUAAAGUUACAGAAAUAAAAUUUAAGAACAGAUAUAUUUGGGCACCAUUGAAAUCUAAUAAACAAUAAUAUGGUAACAGUCCAAUUCACAAUUCACUUAAUUUAACACCUCAAAAGAACAGAAACCAAAAUCUUUCGGAGCCUAGUGUACUGAACUUUUCCAGGUGCAGAAACCAAAUUGAAUUAGUCGAGUUCUUUUGCUUUUCUGGAAAUCGCAUGCAUUUCAAAACAUCAACAUGAAGACAAAUUAACAAGGUAUAAAAAGAAAAAAAUAAUAAUAACAAGGCAUGCAUCAGAUAAACAUGAAGAUCUGUUCUUUUUGGAACAGAAAAACCAAUGAGAAUAUAAAAAAAUAAAAUUAAAACGAAAAUUAAUAAUAUCAGAUUAAAAAUACAUUACACACAAAUAUCAAUACUGAAUACACAAUAACCCAUUAUUGAAAAAGAAAUAUAUGUGUAAGAAUCCAUCAAACAAAGAAGUUUAAGGGAAAAGAGAAAAAAUCACAGAAAAAAUUGAAGAGAGAGUUAGAGGAAAUCCUCUGUUUUUUUUUUUUUAAAUUUAGUUCUUUGUUUUCUUUGUGAAAGCAGAGCUUAU
rnacentral:lncRNA from 1 species